AGUGAACGCUGGCGGUAGGCCUAACACAUGCAAGUCGAACGGCAGCACAGUAAGAGCUUGCUCUUACGGGUGGCGAGUGGCGGACGGGUGAGGAAUACAUCGGAAUCUACUUUUUCGUGGGGGAUAACGUAGGGAAACUUACGCUAAUACCGCAUACGACCUACGGGUGAAAGCAGGGGAUCUUCGGACCUUGCGCGAUUGAAUGAGCCGAUGUCGGAUUAGCUAGUUGGCGGGGUAAAGGCCCACCAAGGCGACGAUCCGUAGCUGGUCUGAGAGGAUGAUCAGCAAACUUGAAACGGAGACAGGGUCAAGACUCUUAGGGGAGGCAGCAGUGGGGAAUAUUGGACAAGGGGCGCAAGCCUGACCCAGCCAUCCCGGGUGGGUGAAGAAGGCCUUCGGGUUGUAAAGCCCUUUUGUGGGGAAAGAAAAGCAGCAGGUUAAUACCCCGCUGUUCUGACGGUACCCAAAGAAUAAGCACCGCCUAACUUCGU
rnacentral:rRNA from 1 species